UUGAAACAACAAUUCCCUUGCGAUCACCGAAGUUAAGCAACAUCGAGCCUGGUCAGUACGUAGAUGAGUGACUGCCUGAAAAUACCAGGUACUGUAAG